rnacentral:rRNA from 1 species
GACGAACGCUGGCGGCGUGCCUAAUACAUGCAAGUCGAGCGGAGUUUUUAAAAGCUUGCUUUUAAAAACUCAGCGGCGGACGGGUGAGUAACACGUGGGCAACCUGCCCUGUAGACUGGGAUAACUUCGGGAAACCGAAGCUAAUACCGGAUAAUCAUAGAAGUUGCAUAGCUUCUAUGUAAAAGUUGGGUUUACCUAACACUACAGGAUGGGCCCGCGUCGCAUUAGCUAGUUGGUAAGGUAACGGCUUACCAAGGCGACGAUGCGUAGCCGACCUGAGAGGGUGAUCGGCCACACUGGGACUGAGACACGGCCCAGACUCCUACGGGAGGCAGCAGUAGGGAAUCUUCCGCAAUGGACGAAAGUCUGACGGAGCAACGCCGCGUGAGCGAUGAAGGCCUUCGGGUCGUAAAGCUCUGUUGUUAGGGAAAGAAACAAAGUGCUAUUUCGAAUAAGGGUGGCCACCCUGGCGGACCUAAACG